rnacentral:rRNA from 1 species
GUAGGGUGCGAGCGUUGUCCGGAAUUACUGGGCGUAAAGAGCUCGUAGGUGGUUUGUCGCGUUGUUCGUGAAAACCGGGGGCUUAACCCUCGGCGUGCGGGCGAUACGGGCAGACUGGAGUACUGCAGGGGAGACUGGAAUUCCUGGUGUAGCGGUGGAAUGCGCAGAUAUCAGGAGGAACACCGGUGGCGAAGGCGGGUCUCUGGGCAGUAACUGACGCUGAGGAGCGAAAGCGUGGGGAGCGAACAGGAUUAGAUACCCUGGUAGUCCACGCCGUAAACGGUGGGUACUAGGUGUGGGUUUCCUUCCUUGGGAUCCGUGCCGUAGCUAACGCAUUAAGUACCCCGCCUGGGGAGUACGGCCGCAAGGCUAAA